GUGCUCACUUGGGCGGCACAUACACUAAAACUGGAACGAUACAGAGAAGACUAGCACGGCCCCUGCACACGGAUGACACAGCAAAUUCAUGAAGCGUUCCAUAUUAAA
rnacentral:snRNA from 1 species